UAUUGAGAUGUGUUCUCCUAUAACAGUCUUGCGAUGCAUUGCCAAUGUCUGUGGUCGUCAUCACUAAGAUGUUGUCUUUUCGACCGUCAAUGUAAAUAGCCCAUAGAGGUUUAAUGGGAAUAACACUGCAAAUCUUGGCGUACAUUUUUUCGCUCCCGACGUGUUUUGUUUCGGUCUAUAACAUGCGACUCAAAGAGCUUCUGAGACUUAUACGCAGACUCGGGCCCGUCAGACCCUGGAUGCUGAACGCAACGCAUCUCAAAGAGCUGCUGAGACAGUGGAACAGACUCAGACACGUCGAGUUUUAGAUGCUGAACGUCACGCGCAAUUGAUUUCGGCAGAGACUUACGAAGAUUCACAAAGACGACGUCUUUUAAAUGCUGAACGGCAGGCAGAAAGAACACGUACAUUUUCAAUGAGAACGUGGGAGGCAUUUAAUGGUACCUCUUUUGAGUAUGACCUUUUGAUCGACAAUGUUAAUCACCGAUUGGUUAUCUUUGGAAGAAUGGAUAAAAAAUGCAGAUAUUGUGAAUCACUGAAAUGGAAAGAAGAAACCCCAGGUAUGAGCUGUUCUGGUGGAAAGGUUAAAAAAACCCGGGCGAAGCUGGGACGGGCAGCUAGUAUAUAUAUAUAGAGAUAGAAUCAGCUACGUUAGCUGUCGCUUAUUUUUCAUAGCAUGGUAUUUAAAAAAGAGCCACGUUUUCGCAAAGGAGAAAAAAAUAUUGGGCGACGUACUCAUAAUACGCAACUGCUCCGUGACCGUCCAUUAAAUCAAACAGUAGAAGAACACGUGGCAAUCAAUGCCAACGUAAGUGAACAAAUGACAAACUCACGUGCAAAUGAGAAUUCCGAGCAACGUGAUUAACGUCCUCGUGCUACUAAAUUAAGGCAACGAGUGAUCGAAGUUUUCAAACAUCGAUGUUCGAUAUUUCCUUUUUACUCACCACUUCUUGGCUGGUAUUUGAAAUGGAGAAGGCUUUGAAAGAGCAGAACAGGAAUGGUAAUUAGAGUAAUUAGGUACGAUCAUAUGAUUUGUAAUAUUAUUUGAUCAUUUGCGCAGAGGUGGAAUGAGUGUUCACCCAAAUGAACAACGUAAAAACUAAGCUGUGAAAUAGAAAGCAUUAAACUUAAUUUUACAUAUAAGGUAUUUUAUAGUAUUAAUAGCAUUAAAUAUCAUAUUUGUAGAUACGGAAUACGCCGGGU